AAAAAUUUGCCAGAUUUGACCUCCGGUCACGCAUGGUAAUGUUACUUCUGUUCCGCGGCGGGGGAGGACUAAUGCCUACUUCUCUGCCUGGUAGUGGGGGAUAACUCGGGGAAACUCGAGCUAAUACCGAAAACGUACUACGGGAGAAAGCGGGGGAUCUUCCGACCUCGCGCUACCAGAUGAGCCUAGGUCGGAUUAGCUAGUUGGUGAGGUAAAGGCUCACCAAGGCGACGAUCCGUAGCUGGUCUGAGAGGAUGAUCAGCCACACUGGAACUGAGACACGGUCCAGACUCCUACGGGAGGCAGCAGUGGGGAAUAUUGGACAAGGGGCGAAAGCCUGAUCCAGCCAUGCCGCGUGUGUGAAGAAGGUCUUCGGAUUGUAAAGCACUUUAAGUUGGGAGGAAGGGCAGUAAGCUAAUACCUUGCUGUUUUGACGUUACCGACAGAAUAAGCACCGGCUAACUUCGUGCCAGCAGCCGCGGUAAUACGAAGGGUGCAAGCGUUAAUCGGAAUUACUGGGCGUAAAGCGCGCGUAGGUGGUUUGAUAAGUUGGAUGUGAAAGCCCCGGGCUCAACCUGGGAAUUGCAUCCAAAACUGUCUGGCUAGAGUAUGGCAGAGGGUGGUGGAAUUUCCUGUGUAGCGGUGAAAUGCGUAGAUAUAGGAAGGAACACCAGUGGCGAAGGCGACCACCUGGGCUAAUACUGACACUGAGGUGCAAAGCGUGGGGAGCAAACAGGAUUUAGAUCCCCUGGUAGUCCACGCCGUAAACGAUGUCGACUAGCCGUUGGGAUCCUUAGAUCUUAGUGGCGCAGCUAACGCAUUAAGUCGACCGCCUGGGGAGUACGGCCGCAAGGUUAAAACUCAAAUGAAUGACGGGGGCCCGCACAAGCGGUGGAGCAUGUGGUUUAAUUCGAAGCAACGCGAAGAACCUUACCAGGCCUUGACAUGCAGAGAACUUUCCAGAGAUGGAUUGGUGCCUUCGGGAACUCUGACACAGGUGCUGCAAGGCUGUCGUCAGCUCGGGUGGUGAGAUGUUGGGUUAAGUCCCGUAACGAGCGCAACCCUUGUCCUUAGUUACCAGCACGUUAAGGUGGGCCCUCUAGAGACUGCCGGUGACAAACCGGAGGAAGGUGGGGAUGACGUCAAGUCAUCAUGGCCCUUACGGCCUGGGCUACACACGUGCUACAAUGGUCGGUACAAAGGGUUGCCAAGCCGCGAGGUGGAGCUAAUCCCAUAAAACCGAUCGUAGUCCGGAUCGCAGUGGUGCAACUCGACUCGUGAAGUCGGUUCCACUUGUCUCGUAAUCAGAAUUCACGGUAAUACGUUCCCGGGCCUUUACCGCCCCGUCCCCCCCGCGCCACAAAACUUACUCGGGGACGGUACAGAGAAG
rnacentral:rRNA from 1 species